rnacentral:rRNA from 1 species
AAUGAACGCUGGCGGCAGGCCUAACACAUGCAAGUCGAACGGAUCCUUCGGGAUUAGUGGCGGACGGGUGAGUAACGCGUGGGAACGUACCCUUUGGUUCGGAAUAGCCUCGGGAAACUGGGAGUAAUACCGGAUAAGCCCUUCGGGGGAAAGAUUUAUCGCCAAAGGAUCGGCCCGCGUUGGAUUAGGUAGUUGGUGGGGUAAUGGCCUACCAAGCCGACGAUCCAUAGCUGGUUUGAGAGGAUGAUCAGCCACACUGGGACUGAGACACGGCCCAGACUCCUACGGGAGGCAGCAGUGGGGAAUCUUAGACAAUGGGGGAAACCCUGAUCUAGCCAUGCCGCGUGAUCGAUGAAGGCCUUAGGGUUGUAAAGAUCUUUCAGUUGGGAAGAUAAUGACGGUACCAACAGAAGAAGCCCCGGCUAACUCCGUGCCAGCAGCCGCCGCGGUAA